CAGUUGGCCACGCGACAGUGUAAAUAAGGAUUCCAGGGACUCAAAUGCAUCUGUCAGCCAGGAGAAGGGAGGAGGCAGGGGAAGAUGGUUUGAAAUUCAUUUCUUUGACUGCUGUAAGAGCUCUGGCCUAUAGACACCUGGCAACUACACCUGGAUUCUGGUGAAUUCUUUGGAAAUAUCUUUUGUCUUCAGCCUCCAGAAAGAGGAGGUAGCAUUGGAAUUAAGGCCUCGUAUAUCCAGAAAGCAGCAAAGGAAAAGGCAGGGCAGCAAGUGGGAGUGAGAUAGCAGAGGUAGCUCGAGUCUGUGUUCGUGAAAUACAACUUCUGUCCGGAGCAGCACUUGAAGUCCGUCCCAGUUUCCUGCCUCUAACCUCACUAAAUUUCUACACGUUUCACCUGCAUAAGGUCCAGAAUGUGGUUCCAUUUUUUCUUUUUGUCAUAUCGGCUCUACAUGAGAGGAUGGAUUCUUCCUUCAAGAACUAGAGUCGGCUGGGUGUGGUGUUACAUACCUUUAAUCCCAGCACUUAGGAGGCAGA